UUUCUAAACGCUUUUGAGGGUGACUGAUUGACCUAUGAUUAUUCCUCUUUUCUUUGUAGACCAAAUAUAAAUAAGGAAAUUCUAACGGCCUGAGACACAAGGUUUCAGGAACGAGCGGUGUUGGCAGGCACAAGUGCACCUUUGUUCUCCUUCGCACAAAAAAAGUUAUCCCCACAGAAUCAAAGAAAAUGGACCGAAAACUGAUUUGUUUCGUUUUUGUGGCGUUGCUUGUUGCCUCAGUGGUUGACGCGGCGGCGUCGGCACAAGCGCAGCAACGGCAACGGCGCUGGGGGAAACGAAAUUCUCAGAUUGGGUUAAAGAAGAGGGAGUAUUGUGCACGAGCUGAGAUGAUCUGCAGCCCUGAAGCAAACGGUUUUUACGGCGAAGCCGACGACAUGGACCUCAAUGUCGAGGAAAAAUGAUGAAAAGAUAGACUGACCUUAAACAUUUCUAUACACCAGGAACAAAUAUCUCAUGUUUUAUUUUUAACGCAAGAUUAAUUUUAACAUGUCUUUCAACAAUGCAUACUUAAAUUAAAUUGUUGAUGCAAAUCGUUUUCAUAAUUUGCCUUGAUGAUAAAUGAACAAACAAAUGAAUAGAUUUGUAAAGUAAACCCAGUAAUAAAUAUACUUCUUCAAAUUA